GGGGGUGUAGCUCAGCUGGGAGAGCACCUGCCUUGCAAGCAGGGGGUCAGGAGUUCGAAUCUCCUCGUCUCCACCA
rnacentral:tRNA from 1 species